AGCGAACGCUGGCGGCAGGCCUAACACAUGCAAGUCGAACGAACCCUUCGGGGUUAGUGGCGGACGGGUGAGUAACACGUGGGAACGUGCCUUUAGGUUCGGAAUAACUCAGGGAAACUUGUGCUAAUACCGAAUGUGCCCUUCGGGGGAAAGAUUUAUCGCCUUUAGAGCGGCCCGCGUCUGAUUAGCUAGUUGGUGAGGUAACGGCUCACCAAGGCUACGAUCAGUAGCUGGUCUGAGAGGAUGACCAGCCACAUUGGGACUGAGACACGGCCCAAACUCCUACGGGAGGCAGCAGUGGGGAAUCUUGCGCAAUGGGCGAAAGCCUGACGCAGCCAUGCCGCGUGGAUGAUGAAGGUCUUAGGAUUGUAAAAUCCUUUCACCGGCGAAGAUAAUGACUGUAGCCGGAGAAGAAGCCCCGGCUAACUUCGUGCCAGCCGCCGCGGUAACAC
rnacentral:rRNA from 1 species